GACUCCUGUUCUGUGUAUGGCACUGGUAGAAUUCACUGUGAACAGUCUCAGUCAGUGAAUUACCGAAGGGCCAUAAACAGAGCAGAGACA
ensembl:miRNA